AUAGCAAUGGAUUUUAUGAAUUUUUUUUCCAGUUUUUUUCACACCAGAUCUUUUAAACAACUUCAGACCUAUCCACUGAUAUAAAGUUUUUCAUAAUUUUUUUCAUAUUUUUUAGGUUUUUAUGGCUUUAUUGUCAUAAAAACCCCUGUUUUUUUGGGGGUAAAAAACCAUAAUAUGCAAUAUUUUUAAAAAAUGAGUUGCAAAUGGAACUACUUGGCAUGAGGUUAUUAGAGCCUUGGAUAGGUAAAGAAUUCAUAACAGAAUUGAUUUGGCUGCAUUAUUAUUUUUGGAGCAAUAAGAGUUUUUACAGUAUACAUCCAUUGGUAUCCCUUGGGACCCAAAGGGGUCCCCAUCCAAAAGGUGAUAUAGCAAUGGAUUUUAUGAAUUUUUUUUCCAGUUUUUUUCACACCAGAUCUUUUAAACAACUUCAGACCUAUCCACUGAUAUAAAGUUUUUCAUAAUUUUCUCAAUAUUUUUUAUGUUUUUAUGGCUUUAUUGUCAUAAAGACCCCUGUUUAUUUUCUUUGGGGGGUAAAAAACCAUAAUAUGCAAUAUUUUCAAAAAAUGAGUUGCAAAUGGAACUACUUGGCAUGAGGUUAUUAGAGCCUUGGAUAGGUAAAGAAUUCAGAAUAGAAUUGAUUUGGAUGCAUUAUUAUUUUUGGAGCAAUAAGAGUUUUUCAAAUUUACACCCUUUUAUGGUCCUCGGGACCCAAAAUGGUCCCCAUCCAAAAGGUGAUAUAGCAAUGGAUUUUAUGAAUUUUUUUUCCAGUUUUUUUCACACCAGAUCUUUUAAACAACUUCAGACCUAUCCACUGAUAUAAAGUUUUUCAUAAUUUUUUUCAUAUUUUUUAGGUUUUUAUGGCUUUAUUGUCAUAAAGACCCCUGUUUAUUUUUUAUUUUGGGGGGUAAAAAACCAUAAUAUGCAAUAUUUUCAAAAAAUGAGUUGCAAAUGGAACUACUUGGCAUGAGGUUAUUAGAGCCUUGGAUAGGUAAAGAAUUCAGAAUAGAAUUGAUUUGGAUGCAUUAUUAUUUUUGGAGCAAUAAGAGUUUUUGCAAUAUACUUCCAUUGGUAUCCCUCGGGACCCAAAAUGGUCCCCAUCCAAAAGGUGAUAUAGCAAUGAAUUUUAUGAAUUGUUUUUUCAUUUUUUUUCACAUCAGAUCUUUUAAACAACUUCAGACCUAUCCACAGAUAUAAAGUUUUUCAUAAAUUUGUAAAUAUUUUUUAUGUUUUUAUAGCUUUAUUGUCAUAAAGACCCCUGUUUAUUUUUUAUUUAUUUAUUUUGGGGGUGGGGGGUGGGGGGGGAAACCCGUAAUAUAUAUUAUAAAUAUAUUCUCAAUCACAUUCACACCACUCUCUUAUAUCAGUUCCACUACAUCGAGACUAUUUUAUGGUGGUCAGCUGUUUUAUUGUCAUGUAUUUUGCAUAAUAAGAUAACCAUGUCCUGCAUUCAAAACCACUGAAAAUGUCUAUGGUGGUGCUGUACCUAAUAUUGUGCUCAUUGGAUCCGAAACAUAUUUUUCCUUUAUUUUGAAGCCUGAGGCUUAGAUCCAUUAGGUAUUCACGAGAAAAAAAUUAUCACAUGUCAGGAUUACAGUAUAUCGAAAAUAUGUGAUUAUAAUGG
ensembl:lncRNA